GACGUAGGGCGCGAGCGUUGUCCGGAUUUAUUGGGCGUAAAGAGCUCGUAGGCGGCUUGUCGCGUCGUCCGUGAAAACCCACAGCUCAACUGUGGGCUUGCGGUCGAUACGGGCAGGCUAGAGUUCGGUAGGGGAGACUGGAAUUCCUGGUGUAGCGGUGAAAUGCGCAGAUAUCAGGAGGAAUACCGAUGGCGAAGGCAGGUCUCUGGGCCGAUACUGACGCUGAGGAGCGAAAGCGUGGGGAGCGAACAGG
rnacentral:rRNA from 1 species